CUGACUCGCUGUGGGGAUUAUCAAAGCGACCGUACGGAAUCUGGGUGAGGAGCCGCGGUCACAGUCCAGAACAGGGACGGCUGAUAUCUUCACGGCUGAAGUUGCAGCAGUCACACACAGCGGAGCAUCUUGGCUGUAGCCUAUCAGUUCUGGUCGUUACCGCUGUCCGAACGCACGUGAGAGGACUUGUCAUUCCUGUCUACAGGUGGAACACUUUUGAAAGCUAUCUAAAAGCAGUGCAAGGGCAAUGUGUGAAAGUCCGUUGAGUCAAGCUCAGGAGAACAGGAGAUCCAUCCGAGGGCUGUUUGUGUGUGCGUGUGCAUUCGCCCAUCUCGAGACCGCCCCUGUCCAUUACCCCUGAGAGUCCGAAGCUCUUAACGACGUCGAAAGUUGCCUACUUCAAGAGGAAGUAUGCGGAGGAGGAGGAUAUUCAUGGCAGCCUACACGGAUAUUUACAAAAACACCUGAUACUUCGUGAGGAGCGCAGCUGUAUCCUGCGCCUAUCCCUGGAGAAGCUGCGUUUCCUGGACGACCCCGAGGCCUACCUUCGCCGCUCCGUCCUCAUCAACAACCUGCUGCGCAAGAUCCACCAUGACGAGAGCGAGCACGAGCCGGAGGAGAAGGAGGAGCACGAGGACCAGGAGGAGCGGGACACCCAGAAACUGUUCUGCUCCGGCAGGAAGAGACUGAAGGUCCUGGUGACGUCUGAGUGCGACACGCAGGACUUUAGCUACGCAGAGGUGCCCCAGUACAGGCUGGUGUCGUACGCCUCGUCCCCGAGUGUGAUGUGCCUCUGUGGGCUUGGCGGCUGUCCCGCCCUGGCCUCCAGCCAUGGAGCUCCAGUUCUGGUAUACGACUUGGACGAUCAUGGGUGAAUGAGAUGGUUGAAGAUCUUGGCUUAAGGAAUAAUAAUUAAAACAAACAAAAAAAAAAGAGUUCAGUCAUCUGAGUGCACUGUAGAUGACUGUGUUGACAGGGUGUUGUGUGCCAGGGCUGGUCGAGGCGAAAAUGCUGUAUGUUGCUUGUGCUUGGAAGCUGAGAGCCAGCUGUGGAGUAUGAACCAUGGCUACUGUAUAGCUGUCUCUGGGGAAGACCCUCCUCCAGAACCUCAACCAGUAUCAGGGUCUGCUUUUCAUCUCUCUCUCUCUCUCUCUCUCUCUCUCUCUCUCUCUCUCUCUCUCUCUCUCUCUCUCUCUCCAUCUAUCGCUCUGUCUAUCUCUGUGUCUGUUACUUUAGCAUAAUGUGUCUGUCAAAAGAAUGACUUAACUGUUGUGGUUUCAAAGCCUUUCUGUAUGAGUAUGAUUUUGUUUUGCUGAUGUGAGCUACAAUGCUUGUGUUUUUCAGGGAUAUGAACUCUAAAGAAGCCAUGCACCUUUUUUGUAAACAUAUUACAUUAUGUAUAGCCUACAUAAUGUCAAACCAGGGUCUAAAGGAAGCGCUUUAUUUUGUCCCAAGAUAGUGACAUGUUAUCUUUGAAUGUAAAAUCAAUUAAAAAAAAAAAAACACUGACUAAAACGGAAUGAGACAGAAUGGACAGUGGAGUUUAACAGAGGCACUAAGUAGCCUACUGGCAUUGUAAAAAUGGACAAGGACACAAAUACAAACUUGUUGAACCUCAGCACUCAACUCUCCGCUUAGCAGCAUUCUACUGCCCCCUAUUGUUCAGACCUCUGACAGACUACGCCAAUCUUUGUAGACUGUUCAACAGCAGGCUAAAAUCAUCAGACUCACUGUAGUGCAACGUGAGCUAGACACAUCUAUCUCAGAGACUCACUUCUUUUUAAUGUAUGUGGCAAAUUUUAUGUUCUUUGUAAACUGCUUUGGAGCCACGGAGAUGUGCAAUGGAUUUAUCCAUUUCUGGGUAUAUGUGCCAAGUCUAACAGGCUGAAUGAAUACCAAUCAUGACCUAAUAAUUUGGGACUCUAUGGAGUAGCCAGUACUCCGUAGGCCUACUUAAGAUGUUGUGGUGUGUCCCAAUUACAUACAGACUUUUCAAACAACGUAUUUUCUGUCAUUAUUCAGGGCCUAUUUCAGUUUGAUUUCAUUUGAAUUAUUUUUUUUUUGAAUAAACACCAUGUUUGCCAAAU